UACGGAGGAUCCGAGCGUUAUCCGGAUUUAUUGGGUUUAAAGGGUGCGUAGGCGGCCUAUUAAGUCAGGGGUGGAAGACGGUAGCUUAACUAUCGCAGUGCCUUUGAUACUGAUAGGCUUGAAUGUACUUGAGGUAGGCGGAAUGUGACAAGUAGCGGUGAAAUGCAUAGAUAUGUCACAGAACACCAAUUGCGAAGGCAGCUUACUAAAGUAUGAUUGACGCUGAGGCACGAAAGCGUGGGGAUCAAACAGG
rnacentral:rRNA from 1 species